rnacentral:rRNA from 1 species
AGUGAACGCUGGCGGUAGACCUAACACAUGCAAGUCGAACGGCAGCACAGUAAGAGCUUGCUCUUACGGGUGGCGAGUGGCGGACGGGUGAGGAAUACAUCGGAAUCUACUUUUUCGUGGGGGAUAACGUAGGGAAACUUACGCUAAUACCGCAUACGACCUACGGGUGAAAGCAGGGGAUCUUCGGACCUUGCGCGAUUGAAUGAGCCGAUGCCGGAUUAGCUAGUUGGCGGGGUAAAGGCCCACCAAGGCGACGAUCCGUAGCUGGUCUGAGAGGAUGAUCAGCCACACUGGAACUGAGACACGGUCCAGACUCCUACGGGAGGCAGCAGUGGGGAAUAUUGGACAAUGGGCGCAAGCCUGAUCCAGCCAUACCGCGUGGGUGAAGAAGGCCUUCGGGUUGUAAAGCCCUUUUGUUGGGAAAGAAAAGCAGCAGGUUAAUCCCCCGCUGUUCUGACGGUACCCAAAGAAUAAGCACCGGCUAACUUCGUG